AGUCACUGACAUUAGAUACCCCGGUAGUCCCAGCCGUAAACUAUGCGCGUUAGGUGUAUCGGUGACCACGAGUUACCGAGGUGCCGAAGGGAAACCGUGAAACGUGCCGCCUGGGAAGUACGGUCGCAAGGCUGAAACUUAAAGGAAUUGGCGGGGGAGCACCGCAACGGGAGGAGCGUGCGGUUUAAUUGGAUUCAACACCGUAAAACUCACCAGGGAAGACUGUUACAUGAAGGCCGAGAUGAAGACUCUGCUAGAUUUUCAG
rnacentral:rRNA from 1 species